rnacentral:tmRNA from 1 species
GGGGAUGACAGGCUUCGACAGAAGACAGCGCUUAAAAAUCGCAAGCCGAGCCGACUAACUCGCAAAACUGGUCAAAAAAUUUAUCUGCCAAAAACAGAUUAGCCAAUUUAUUGGCUCCCGCGUUCGCUUUCGCGUAAACGCGGCAUCGCUUUAUUGAAUCUUGAUAAGUAAAAGCGGUGUUAUAUUUCAAGAUAUAUUCGGCAUCUGCCAAAAUGCCGAAAGAAAAAUUUUGGCAAAGAAUUAUGAAAUUUUUGCCUGAUUCAUACUUCAUAAUUCAUAAUUCCAAUUCAGGCUAAGCUUGUAGAAGUUUUUAAGAAUUUCUUUUGGACAGGAGUUCAACUCUCCUCAUCUCCACUA